AGUUCGGAUUGAAGGCUGAAAUUCGCCUUCAUGAAGCCGGAAUUGCUAGUAAUGGCAGGUCAGCAUACUGCCGUGAAUACGUUCCCGGGCCUUGUACACACCGCCCGUCACACCAUGAGAGUUGGGGAUACCCGAAGCCUGUGAGCUAACUUUUAGAGGCAGCAGUCGAAGGUAGAAUCAAUGAUUGGGGUGAAGUCGUAACAAGGUAUC
rnacentral:rRNA from 1 species